rnacentral:rRNA from 1 species
AUACGGAGGAUGCAAGCGUUAUCCGGAUUUAUUGGGUUUAAAGGGUGCGUAGGCGGUUUGCUAAGCGGGAGGUGAAAUGCCGGCGCUCAACGUCGGAAGUGCCUCCCGAACUGGUGGACUUGAAUGACUCUGCCGUGGGAGGAAUGUGUAGUGUAGCGGUGAAAUGCUUAGAGAUUACACAGAACACCGAUUGCGAAGGCAUCUCACGAAGGGUUGAUUGACGCUGAGGCACGAAAGCGUGGGGAUCAAACAGGAUUAGAUACCCUGGUAGUCCACGCAGUAAACGAUGAUGGCUAACCGCUGGGCUUAUCAGUUCAGUGGCCAAGCGAAAGCGAUAAGCCAUCCACCUGGGGAGUACGACCGCAAGGUUGAAACUCAAAGGAAUUGACGG